UGGAGAAAGGAGAUUAGAGAUUUGACAAUUCUGGACAUUCCAUACAAAUGAAAUCACACAAUAUGUGGCUUUUCCUGCCUGGCUUCUUUCACUUGAAGUUUAUCCACGUCAUGGCAUGUAUCAGUACCCAGUUUCUUUUUUUUUUCCCAGUUUCUUUUUAAUUGCUGAAUAAUAUUCCAUUGUCUGGAUAUGCCACAUUUUGUUUAUUAUUUAUGGGUAUUUGACUUGUUUUGAUUUCUAGCUGUUACAAAUAAUGCCACUAUAAACAUCUGUUUACAAGUUGUGUGGAUGCAUUUUCA